rnacentral:rRNA from 1 species
UCUACGGGCGGCAGCAGUGAGGAAUAUUGGUCAAUGGGCGCGAGCCUGAACCAGCCAAGUAGCGUGAAGGAGUACUGCCCUAUGGGUUGUAAACCUCUUUUGUCGGGGAGAAAAAGCCGGACGUGUCCGGCUGUGAGAGUACCCGAAGAAAAAGCAGAGGCUAACUCCGUGCCAGCAGCCGCGGUAAUACGGAGGAUGCGAGCGUUAUCCGGAUUUAUUGGGGUUAAAGGGUGCGCAGGCGGAUUUUUAAGUCAGCGGUCAAAUUGUGGGGCUAAACCCCAUCCAGCCGUUGAAACUGGGGAUCUAGAGUGCAGGAGGGGCAGGCGGAAUUCCUGGUGUAGCGGUGAAAUGCGUAGAUAUCAGGAGGAACACCGGUGGCGAAGGCGGCCUGCUGGACUGCAACUGACGUUGAGGCCCGAAAGCGUGGGGAGCAAACAGGAUUAGAUACCCGAGUAGUC